UACAGAGGAGCCAAGCGUUGUCCGGAUUGACUGGGCGUAAAGCGCACGCAGGCGGACGCGCGCGUGGGGUGUGAAAUCUGGCCGCUUAACGGCCAGGCGCCAUCCCAUACGGCGCGUCUGGAGUGAUGCAGAGGUCGAUGGAAUUGCCGGUGUAGUGGUGAAAUGCGUAGAGAUCGGCAGGAACACCCAGGGGGAAACCAGUCGACUGGGCAUCUACUGACGCUGAGGUGCGAGAGCGUGGGGAGCGAACCGGAUUAGAUACCCGGGUAGUCCACGCCGUAAACGAUGGCCACUCGGCCUUUGGUGGCGGAAUCUCCGUCGCUGGGGGCCUUAGCUAACGCGGGAAGUGGCCCGCCUGGGAACUACGAGCGCAAGCUUAAA
rnacentral:rRNA from 1 species